GGGAGAAUACCCAAGUGGCCAAAGGGGGCAGACUGUAAAUCUGUUGUCUAUCGACUUCGGUGGUUCGAAUCCACCUUCUCCCACCA
rnacentral:tRNA from 1 species